UCGAUCUAUUUUGUAGUUCAGUAUCAGGUUGAAUUACCGUAUUCACUAAUAAGUUACAACGGUGGCUCUUCUCUGGAGAAAUUAUGAAAAUAUGAAAAUACCAUGCAAAACAAAACAGAUCAUCACAGUUAACUGGUAAGCCUGAUUGAUGCCGGUAAGUGUUUCUUGUAAAAUUUCAGUCACUUGGAUUUUCCUUGUAAACAAGAAGUAUUUAUUUCUUCAAGAAUGAAUCAAGAUGUAUUUCACAGAUGCUCGCUCCGGACGGCAUGCAAACGGCAAGGUCUGAAGUUUUAGCAUUAAAAUCUGCUGCAUCUCUUGGAGAUUGGGCUGAUGUGCAUGACAUGUACUGAUGUACACAGGGAGCCAACAAAGCACACAAAAACAAAUCUAAAGGAAAGAAAGGGAGGUGGGGAGGUGAGGAGAACGUGGAUGCUGUUUCUAGUGUUUCCCAACCCUUGUGCCAACUUUUUAACUUAUGACCAAAGCUCAAAUCUCUAGCCUUGGCUAUUGAGCUCGCCCCUCUAAACAAAUGCAGUCCCCAAGGACGCGUUGAUUCCUUGUUUGGAGCCUUAUGUGGGGGGAGGGGAUGGCCUUUCUUGGGCAACCCAUGCAUACAAUAUAAAUCUGCGGUCUCCACUAACAAAUUACUGCCUUGGGCUUUGCCCCAUCCAUCGUGUUUGCCACAGGCUAGGUGUUGUUUUACCCGAGUAUUAUAUCUCAAAUGGUGAACUACGGUAGCACAAAUCUGUUACGGAAGCGCACUCUGUAACUUUUGGGGAAUCUACAUUCUGUUUUACUCUUCGUCUGUUCUUGUUCCGAGCACAAAUAUGCGUGGUUUAUAUCUUUGUUAAUUUUGAAUGGGUAUCCUAAGUGACAGGCUGCAAUUACUUUCUGUGGAUCAAGAGUCUGUUGUUAUGGAGUAUGGACUAUUAUUAUGUACUUUGUGCUAUGAAACCUUUUUCCUGGUAAUUGUUGUGGCCUAGUUACUGCCUUUUGCAGUUUGCACUGCAUUGCAUAUGCUGUCUAUGUUUAGCUUUCACAUGCAAGGGUCACAGAUUCCAAUAUCUAGCUUGGCUUGUUCUGGGAGUGGAUUCAGCGAAGUGCGUAAUGGCUUGUCCCAGGUGUGGAUCCGAUGAGGUUUUGCAAAGAAUCGAUUAUAUGUAGAUGUAUAUAGUCCAUUUAGAAGUUGAAGAUGGUGCUCUUCUGGUUGAUCUGAGUUGUUUGUAUGAUUUUCUAAUGAUUCGUCGAAAAAGAACCUUACUUCCUUGCAGAUAUUGGUCCACUAUCCCUGGAGACGUGAGCUGAUGGACAGCUCCACCUUAAAAUGUCUGACUCUAAAUAUUCGGUGAUAGCUGGUUCUAAGAGAAGCAAGUUCAUGUAGGUUGAUUCAGUUCGCUGAUUUCAGGGAAAAGACGGUUUAUUACCUUUUUGUGGUACUCGAUGACGAUUGUUAAUGCCGAUUUGUGCAUAAUUAAUCUGGGAAGCUAUACUGCUACAGGGAGACUCUUUGCUUCCAUACCAUAAUGGCUGACGCUUAGUUUCAGUGAGUUGUCCUUUUUAAAUUAACUUUUGUUUCUUCAACCAAGUUUCCAGGAAACUAACAUGCCAAGCAGCUGAACAUUACGCUGAUCAAGUUUAGAACCAGUAAUCUGGCUACUUUGCCACUAGUGUCGAAACAUCAGACUGUCAUCAAAUGGCCCAAAAUAAAUUAAUACAUUUAACAUCUUUUUUUUUCUAUCUAUGUAUACUAGUUUCUGGUAUCGGUUUCGAAUUCUCAUUCCAGCCUACUUUGAUAAACUUCGGCUGCUAAUAUA